GACGAACGCUGGCGGCGCGCUUAACACAUGCAAGUCGAGCGAGAACCGGGGCUUCGGCCCCGGGGACAGCGGCGAACGGGUGAGUAACACGUGGGUAACCUGCCCUCGGCACCGGGAUAGCCCGGGGAAACCCGGAUUAAUACCGGAUGGCCCCUCCGGCCCUCGGGCCGGCCGGGAAAGGUAGCUUCGGCCUCCGGCCGAGGAUGGGCCCGCGGCGGAUUAGCUUGUUGGCGGGGUAACGGCCCACCAAGGCACCGAUCCGUAGCUGGUCUGAGAGGACGAUCAGCCACACUGGGACUGAGACACGGCCCAGACUCCUACGGGAGGCAGCAGUGGGGAAUCUUGCACAAUGGGCGAAAGCCUGAUGCAGCGACGCCGCGUGCGGGAAGACGGCCUUCGGGUUGUAAACCGCUUUCAGGAGGGACGAAGCCACUCGGGUGAAUAGCCCAGAGGGUGACGGUACCUCCAGAAGAAGCCCCGGCUAACUACGUGCCAGCAGCAGCCGCGGUAA
rnacentral:rRNA from 1 species